UACGUAGGGUGCGAGCGUUGUCCGGAAUUAUUGGGCGUAAAGAGCUUGUAGGCGGUUUGUCGCGUCUGCUGUGAAAAUCCGGGGCUCAACCCCGGACUUGCAGUGGGUACGGGCAGACUAGAGUGUGGUAGGGGAGACUGGAAUUCCUGGUGUAGCGGUGAAAUGCGCAGAUAUCAGGAGGAACACCGAUGGCGAAGGCAGGUCUCUGGGCCACUACUGACGCUGAGGCACGAAGGCCAGGGGAGCAAACGGG
rnacentral:rRNA from 1 species